CCAAUUCAACGGUGUGGUCGCGGCCUCCGGGGGCUCCCCCCGGGCGGUAGAGGUAACACUCUUACGCGCCACAUGUCUGAAUCCUUUUUUUACGAGCACCUUUCGUUCUCCUUCGGUGGGGCAACCUGCCGUUGGAACUUAUCAAAACCUUUUUUUGCAUCUAGCAUUACCUGUUCAGAUACAAACAAUCGUUA
rnacentral:misc_RNA from 1 species